ACACCGUAACAGUUUACUCCCCUUGUCCUUCAAACCCCAAGCCAUGUAGGAAUCCACGGCUUCUCACAUGUAAGCCAUUACUGGAGCAGUUGAGUGGCUACAGCUGCUGCAGUCAGGAAUAGCAUCUGACUCACCAAUGCCAAGCCUUUGGUUGCUGUGAAGAUUGUUCAGUGAAGACUGACUAUUGUUCACCCUGGAAGAACCUGGCUGUGUGCUGGGCUGCAGCACAUUUUGGGUGCUGUAGCCAUCAAAUGUGGGAAGGUGCACAGUUAUCUGGUGUUUGGACCUCCUC